AACUGAAGAGUUUGAUCAUGGCUCAGAUUGAACGCUGGCGGCAGGCUUAACACAUGCAAGUCGAGCGGGGAAGGUAGCUUGCUACUGGCCUAGCGGCGGACGGGUGAGUAAUGCUUAGG
rnacentral:rRNA from 1 species